GCUUUGGCUACGGCUGUGGACUUCCUAGCACUCCCAGACAGCACCUUCAUGAAACCUGGCAUAAUAUGAAAGGGGGGCAAGCGGUUGUCUCUGGACGCAUUGACACAUGCAUGUCUACUCCAAUGAGAUGGCUGUUGCUCUUGGGUCAUUGAACUUUGUGGCAGACAUGGAUGCCAACUCCAAUGCAUCUGUGUAUUCAAGCGAUUCACAGCCUUAGAAGUGGACUUCUCCACCAUGUUUGUGACAUGUAGACGAGUACUGGAUCAGAAGUGGACUUCCCCACCAUGUUUGUGACAUGUAGACGAGUACUGGAUCAGAAGUGGACUUCUCCACCAUGUUUGUGACAUGUAGACGAGUACUGGAUCAGAAGUGGACUUCCCCACCAUGUUUGUGACAUGUAGACGAGUACUGGAUCAGAAGUGGACUUCUCCACCAUGUUUGUGACAUGUAGACGAGUACUGGAUCAGAAGUGGACUUCCCCACCAUGUUUGUGACAUGUAGACGAGUACUGGAUCAGAAGUGGACUUCCCCACCAUGUUUGUGACAUGUAGACGAGUACUGGAUCAGAAGUGGACUUC